rnacentral:rRNA from 1 species
CACACGCAUGACACACUGCAUAUCAAUAAGCGGAGGAAAAGAAACUAACAAGGAUUCCCCUAGUAACGGCGAGUGAAGCGGGAAGAGCUCAAAUUUGAAAUCUUAAAGGGUUUCCCUUUACGAAUUGUAGUUUAAAGAAGUGUUUUCUGUUGGAGUUUCGGUAAAAGUUCUUUGGAAUAGGACAUCAUAGAGGGUGAGAAUCCCGUAUUUGACCGUUACUUUCCAGCUGUGUGAUACACUUUCAAAGAGUCGGAUUGUUUGGGAAUGCAGUCCAAAAUGGGUGGUAAAUUUCAUCUAAAGCUAAAUAUUGGCGAGGAGACCGAUAGCGAACAAGUACCGUGAGGGAAAGAUGAAAAGAACUUUGAAAAGAGAGUUAAACAGUACGUGAAAUUGUCAAAAGGGAAGCGUUUGACACCAGUGUUGUUUUUCCGAAAAUCAAUUACGAAUGUUUUAUUUUUGAGGAGUUAUGACUUCAUCGGCUUGCUCCUUUCUUUAUGAAACUUUCUUAAUGCACUUUUCGGUUAACAAGUCAACAUCAAUUUCUUUUGUUGUAAAAGGGUAUGAGGAAGGUGGCUUUCUUUUCGGAGAAAGUAUUUAUAGCCUUGUGCCUCUGCAAUCGGAGAGAUUGAGGUCUGCAGCGUAGAUCCUUCGGGGUUAGAUACGUUUGUGCUAAGUUAUAGCUUUUCAUAGACAACUUGUUGACUAUGUUUAGUCUUGUAGCUUACUCGCUUACGCUAUUUUACCUACGCUUAGGAUGUUGACUGAUAUGUAGUCGUA